rnacentral:piRNA from 1 species
UGGAAAUUAGUUGCUAGGAUGUAAUCUGUGU